AGGUAGCUCAGGUGGUUAGAGAGUGGUGUUACUAACACCAAGGUUGCAGGAUUGAUCCCUGUAUGGAAUA